rnacentral:rRNA from 1 species
GUGAGGAAUUUUCCGCAAUGGGCGAAAGCCUGACGGAGCAAUGCCGCGUGAAGGAAGAAGGCUCACGGGUCGUAAACUUCUUUUCUCAGAGAAGAAUAAAUGACGGUAUCUGAGGAAUAAGCAUCGGCUAACUCUGUGCCAGCAGCCGCGGUAAAACAGAGGAUGCAAGCGUUAUCCGGAAUUAUUGGGCGUAAAGUGUCUGUAGGUGGCUUUUCAAGUCCGUCGUCAAAUCCCAGGGCUCAACCCUGGACAGGCGGUGGAAACUACCAAGCUGGAGUACGGUAGAGGCAGAGGGAAUUUCCGGUGGAGCGGUGAAAUGCGCUGAGAUCGGGAAGAACACCAACAGGCGAAAGCACUCUGCUAGGCCGUCACUGACACUCAGAGACGAAAGCUAGGGGAGCGAAUGGG